GGGUUGUGAGGUUAAGCGACUAAGCGUACACGGUGGAUGCCUAGGCAGUCAGAGGCGAUGAAGGGCGUGCUAAUCUGCGAUAAGCGUCGGUAAGCUGAUAUGAAGCGUUAUACCCGACGAUACCCGAAUGGGGAAACCCAGUGUGUUUCGACACACUAUCAUUAUGUGAAUACAUAGCAUAAUGAGGCGAACCGGGGGAACUGAAACAUCUCAGUACCCCGAGGAAAAGAAAUCAACCGAGAUUCCCCCAGUAGCGGCGAGCGAACGGGGAGGAGCCCAGAACCUGAAUCAGUUUGUGUGUUAGUGGAAGCGUCUGGAAAGUCGCACAGUAAAGGGUGAUAGUCCCGUACACAAAAAUGCACAAGUUGUGAGUUCGAUGAGUAGGGCGGGACACGUGACAUCCUGUCUGAAUAUGGGGGGACCAUCCUCCAAGGCUAAAUACUCCUGACUGACCGAUAGUGAACCAGUACCGUGAGGGAAAGGCGAAAAGAACCCCGGCGAGGGGAGUGAAAUAGAACCUGAAACCGUGUACGUACAAGCAGUGGGAGCCUACUUGUUAGGUGACUGCGUACCUUUUGUAUAAUGGGUCAGCGACUUAUAUUCUGUAGCAAGGUUAACCGUAUAGGGGAGCCGCAGGGAAACCGAGUCUUAACUGGGCGUUAAGUUGCAGGGUAUAGACCCGAAACCCGGUGAUCUAGCCAUGGGCAGGUUGAAGGUUGGGUAACACUAACUGGAGGACCGAACCGACUAAUGUUGAAAAAUUAGCGGAUGACUUGUGGCUGGGGGUGAAAGGCCAAUCAAACCGGGAGAUAGCUGGUUCUCCCCGAAAGCUAUUUAGGUAGCGCCUCGUGAAUUCAUCUUCGGGGGUAGAGCACUGUUUCGGCUAGGGGGUCAUCCCGACUUACCAACCCGAUGCAAACUACGAAUACCGAAGAAUGUUAUCACGGGAGACACACGGCGGGUGCUAACGUUCGUCGUGAAGAGGGAAACAACCCAGACCGCCAGCUAAGGUCCCAAAGUCAUGGUUAAGUGGGAAACGAUGUGGGAAGGCAUAGACAGCCAGGAUGUUGGCUUAGAAGCAGCCAUCAUUUAAAGAAAGCGUAAUAGCUCACUGGUCGAGUCGGCCUGCGCGGAAGAUGUAACGGGGCUAAACCAUGCACCGAAGCUGCGGCAGCGACACUUAGGUGUUGUUGGGUAGGGGAGCGUUCUGUAAGCCUGCGAAGGUGGCCUGUGAGGGCUGCUGGAGGUAUCAGAAGUGCGAAUGCUGACAUAAGUAACGAUAAUGCGGGUGAAAAACCCGCACGCCGGAAGACCAAGGGUUCCUGUCCAACGUUAAUCGGGGCAGGGUGAGUCGACCCCUAAGGCGAGGCUGAAAAGCGUAGUCGAUGGGAAACAGGUUAAUAUUCCUGUACUCGGUGUUACUGCGAAGGGGGGACGGAGAAAGCUAGGUUAUCCGGGCGACGGUUGUCCCGGUUUAAGCGUGAAGGUGGAUGACUUUGGUAAAUCCGGGUCAUCAUUAACACUGAGGCGUGAUGACGAGUCACUACGGUGAUGAAGUAACCGAUGCUACGCUUCCAGGAAAAGCCUCUAAGCUCCAGGUAACAUCAAAUCGUACCCCAAACCGACACAGGUGGUCAGGUAGAGAAUACUCAGGCGCUUGAGAGAACUCGGGUGAAGGAACUAGGCAAAAUGGUGCCGUAACUUCGGGAGAAGGCACGCUGAUGGUAGGUGAAGUGACUUGCUCAUGGAGCUGAAAUCAGUCGAAGAUACCAGCUGGCUGCAACUGUUUAAUAAAAACACAGCACUGUGCAAACACGAAAGUGGACGUAUACGGUGUGACGCCUGCCCGGUGCCGGAAGGUUAAUUGAUGGGGUCAGCCGCAAGGCGAAGCUCUUGAUCGAAGCCCCGGUAAACGGCGGCCGUAACUAUAACGGUCCUAAGGUAGCGAAAUUCCUUGUCGGGUAAGUUCCGACCUGCACGAAUGGCGUAAUGAUGGCCAGGCUGUCUCCACCCGAGACUCAGUGAAAUUGAACUCGCUGUGAAGAUGCAGUGUACCCGCGGCAAGACGGAAAGACCCCGUGAACCUUUACUAUAGCUUGACACUGAACCUUGAGCCUUGAUGUGUAGGAUAGGUGGGAGGCUUUGAAGCGUGGACGCCAGUCUGCGUGGAGCCAACCUUGAAAUACCACCCUUUAAUGUUUGAUGUUCUAACGUGGACCCGUGAUCCGGGUUGCGGACAGUGUCUGGUGGGUAGUUUGACUGGGGCGGUCUCCUCCCAAAGCGUAACGGAGGAGCACGAAGGUUAGCUAAUCCUGGUCGGACAUCAGGAGGUUAGUGCAAAGGCAUAAGCUAGCUUGACUGCGAGAGUGACAGCUCGAGCAGGUGCGAAAGCAGGUCUUAGUGAUCCGGUGGUUCUGAAUGGAAGGGCCAUCGCUCAACGGAUAAAAGGUACUCCGGGGAUAACAGGCUGAUACCGCCCAAGAGUUCAUAUCGACGGCGGUGUUUGGCACCUCGAUGUCGGCUCAUCACAUCCUGGGGCUGAAGUAGGUCCCAAGGGUAUGGCUGUUCGCCAUUUAAAGUGGUACGCGAGCUGGGUUUAGAACGUCGUGAGACAGUUCGGUCCCUAUCUGCCGUGGGCGUUGGAAGAUUGAGAGGGGUUGCUCCUAGUACGAGAGGACCGGAGUGAACGCACCACUGGUGUACGGGUUGUGAUGCCAAUUGCAUUGCCCGGUAGCUAAGUGCGGAAGAGAUAACCGCUGAAAGCAUCUAAGCGGGAAACUUGCCUCGAGAUGAGUCUUCCCUGGGUACUUGAUACCCCUGAAGGGCCGUUGAAGACGACGACGUAGAUAGGCUGGGUGUGUAAGCGUAGCGAUACGUUGAGCUGACCAGUACUAAUGACCCGAGAGGCUUAACCUUACAACACCGAAGGUGUUU
rnacentral:rRNA from 1 species